CAACAUGAGGGGGGAACCAAAAUUAAGAACUCCAAAAGAUGGCUAAGGUACAAAAGAAGGAAAGUAAAGAGCAGGCUUAGAAGCUUCUAAGAUGCAAGCCAGGCAACAGCUGCUGUGUGCUUUAGGAGCUGAGCUGCCAUACACUGUGCCAGGGAUUUUAAAUUCCUUUCCAAAUAUUUUCAACAGCUUUAAAGUUUCUAUUAUUUAUUUUUGCUGCGGUCUAGGUGUGAUGAAAUUGCUGAUGUAUAGCCAACUCUUUAGAAUGAAUCUGGCCUACAAUGGAAGGAGAUAUUUAUGGUCUACAGUGAGGGUUUUGUUCCUAUUACAGCAAAAAAAAAAAAAAAAAAAAAAAAGCCAGAAUUUAUGAUACAUUGUUAGGAUUGAUAAUAAAUUGUCAAGAUUUGCAUUAAGUGAGAGAUGCGACUGAGCAAAUACAGAGCCCCAAAUAAUAAAUCACAUUACUUUCACAAAAUUAAGGGUUAAAGAGAGAAUUAAAUAUAUAGUAUGACUCAAAUCUUCUGCUUUCCUUCUUUUUGCUCUACCUCAUAGGAAAGCAUACACGCAUCCUAUACAUGUGUGUCUAUUUAUACAAAUAUAACUGAUAUCUCCCAAGCCAACUUUACAAAUGCAGUUAUAGCAUCCUUUAAGGUGGACUAGAAUUCACUCCUUGAAAAAGUGUUAAUUGAAGACUACUGCACGAAUAAUAGGCCUAUGUGUUUUCUCAGAGUAUUUUGCAUUUUUGCUUAAUUAUAUGACAGAUUUAGUUUAGUAUGUCCCUUCUUUCUAUUUCCCUUCCUCAUUUUAAGCUUUUGAACAUUUUACUUCUGUGAGAAUCAGAGGUGGUAACAUUUUACACGUUCUUUGAUCAGCAAAUGAUUUACAGGUGACUUGGUUUAAAAUAACUAGAUGAUUCUCAACUUUCUCAUUUUUCUUCAUCUCGGCAUUGUAAGAUGUCUAAUUUCCUUUAUUUCCAUAGUGACACUGAAAUGACUGCUCUUUGGUACAGUUCUCUAAGGGUUAAGUGCCAAAAAGCCAAGGUAAAACUUUGAUUGGGUUCAGCCCCACAGCUUCUAAUCCCACAAACAUCUGUCUCUUCUAGCCUCUAUUUCUAUCUAAGAUGAGGCAGAAGCAGACUUCCUGACUGUAUCCUGGAGUUUUUGUUUAUUAUUUGUGUUAGUUUUAGGGUGCUUAUGAAAAUUCCUGUGUUUGUCAAGGUCAAGAAUGGGUCCUUUUGAAAAUAUGAACAAGAUAAGACACACACAGCUAUAGAAUAUUAUUUGUAGGAAAUUAUUAAACAUAAAAAUAUUGGUCUGAUCUUAAAGUAAUGCAUGUCAAUAUAAUUUAGUGUCUGUUUUACAUAGACUAUCUUUAAUUUUAAUGGAAAUAAGGUUAUUUUCAUUAGCUGCAUAGAUUAUGAAAACCAAACUCAACUGUGAAACUACCCUGAGCUAAAGGAGGAUAAUUUAAUAGAAGUUUUGAGAAUAGUUCAGCCUUUGCAUUGUGGAAAGAGAUAGAAUUGCUAGAAGAGAGCGUAAAUGUAUAAAAUUAGCUAUAAAUGUAACUUGAUUUUUUUCCUUUCUGAUACUGGGAAGGAACAUGAGCUCUGCAACGUCCAGUAGCAGCCUUUUCAGAGAAGCAAGUUUGGCUGAUUACAAAUAACCAGUUUGCUUAUUUAUCAUGAAUUGUGGAAGACACAAAUGUCAGCUUGUCCAUGCGAUCGUGCCUGGAGCACUCUGGUUUCCAGGUGACAGACACGAUUCACGGUUGACUUGAGAGAACCACGUAGCUAAAUUGGUGAGAGACUCAGCCUGAC